CCUACGGGAGGCAGCAGUGGGGAAUAUUGGACAAUGGGCGCAAGCCUGAUCCAGCCAUACCGCGUGGGUGAAGAAGGCCUUCGGGUUGUAAAGCCCUUUUGUUGGGAAAGAAAUCCAGCCGGCUAAUACCUGGUUGGGAUGACGGUACCCAAAGAAUAAGCACCGGCUAACUUCGUGCCAGCAGCCGCGGUAAUACGAAGGGUGCAAGCGUUACUCGGAAUUACUGGGCGUAAAGCGUGCGUAGGUGGUUAUUUAAGUCCGUUGUGAAAGCCCUGGGCUCAACCUGGGAACUGCAGUGGAUACUGGAUGACUAGAAUGUGGUAGAGGGUAGCGGAAUUCCUGGUGUAGCAGUGAAAUGCGUAGAGAUCAGGAGGAACAUCCAUGGCGAAGGCAGCUACCUGGACCAACAUUGACACUGAGGCACGAAAGCGUGGGGAGCAAACAGGAUUAGAUACCCUGGUAGUCCACGCCCUAAACGAUGCGAACUGGAUGUUGGGUGCAAUUUGGCACGCAGUAUCGAAGCUAACGCGUUAAGUUCGCCGCCUGGGGAUCGGUGCAAGC
rnacentral:rRNA from 1 species